GAGAACGUGAAAUCGUUGAAGUGGAACCGGAGAGAGUUGACGUAGUAUGGUGGAUAAGUAUUGCAAGAAUCGCUUCAAACMAUGAAUGUGAUCGAGUAAUAUGUACGUCACCAAAGACUGCGCUGACAGCAUCGACUACACGCUCUGAACUGUGUUGACAUGUUGCCUAUUCUAGUAUAUAGAAUGGUGUCUUGUGUUACGUGGUGAAGUUUGUUGUUAUGUUGUUGAUGUUGAUAAGUAUGAUUAUACAUCGAGUAUAAUUAUGUCAGUGUAAAAGUCAACCACCUCUCCGACCCGUCUUGAAACACGGACCGAGGAGUGUAACUUGUACGCGAGUCAUUGGGUGGAAAAACCUUAAGGCGAAACGAAAGUGAAGGCACGGUUAACCGGCUGACAUGGGAAACGUGCGGUAUUGUUAGCGAGACGUUACACCAUGGCCCUGUCUUGUCUGCAUGCAGAUGGGCAGCGGUAGAGCGUACAGGUUGCGACCCGAAAGAUGGUGAACUAUGCCUGAGCAGGACGAAGUCAGAKRAAACUCUGGUGGAAGUCCGUAUCGGUUCUGACGUGCAAAUCGAUCGAUAGACUUGGGU
rnacentral:rRNA from 1 species